GGAGAAGAGCCUGCUGAGUGCAGUGAGGCCGGUCUCCUGCAGGAGGGAGUACAGCCAGAGGAGUUUGUGGCCAUCGCGGACUACGCUGCCACCGAUGAGACCCAGCUCAGUUUUUUGAGAGGAGAAAAAAUUCUUAUCCUGAGACAAACCACUGCAGAUUGGUGGUGGGGUGAGCGUGCGGGCUGCUGUGGGUACAUUCCGGCAAACCAUGUGGGGAAGCAUGUGGAUGAGUACGACCCCGAGGACACGUGGCAGGAUGAAGAGUACUUCGGCAGCUAUGGAACUCUGAAACUCCACUUGGAAAUGUUGGCAGACCAGCCACGAACAACUAAAUACCACAGUGUCAUCCUGCAGAAUAAAGAAUCCCUGACGGAUAAAGUCAUCCUGGAUGUGGGCUGUGGGACUGGGAUCAUCAGUCUCUUCUGUGCACACUAUGCGCGGCCUAAAGCGGUGUACGCGGUGGAGGCCAGUGAGAUGGCACAGCACACGGGGCAGCUGGUCCUGCAGAACGGCUUUGCCGACAUCAUCACCGUGUACCAGCAGAAGGUGGAGGAUGUGGUGCUGCCCGAGAAGGUGGACGUGCUGGUGUCUGAGUGGAUGGGGACCUGCCUGCUGGUGAGGGCGGGCGUGCGGGCAGCUGGGGGCCCGAGAAGGUGGACGUGCUGGUGUCUGAGUGGAUGGGGACCUGCCUGCUGUUUGAGUUCAUGAUCGAGUCCAUCCUGUAUGCCCGGGAUGCCUGGCUGAAGGAGGACGGGGUCAUUUGGCCCACCAUGGCUGCGUUGCACCUUGUGCCCUGCAGUGCUGAUAAGGAUUAUCGUAGCAAGGUGCUCUUCUGGGACAACGCGUACGAGUUCAACCUGAGCGCUCUGAAGUAAGUGUCCACAGCUGGGACUGGCACCGUCUUGUGGGGCCUCCUGGUCCACAGUCUGCAGGUGGGCCAAGGCCCUGGGAGAUCCCAUACGACGGUUGGAUAAAUGAGGGUACCUGUGCACCCAGAUAGGACAAUCUGUUGUAGCAUUGGAGUAAUUAAAGCAGUAUGGUGCUAUAACAAGAAAAGACAGAUGGGCAGAGCAGGGUAGAAUGCAAGGAACAAAAAUUUUCGUAUGUGAAAAAGGUGGCAUUACGAUUAGGAGAGAGUGAGGGCCAAGUCAGCAAAUUAUUCUGGAGCAGUUGAUUAGCCCUUGUUCUCUCACGCCAUACGUGAAAACUGAAUUCUGCAUGGAAUCAGCGUCAACGACAGACAUCCAUGGGGGCCUGUGUGCACCAUCUUAGGUGGAGAAAUGAGCAGCAACAAUGGAUGGAAUGGACCCUGGGCUAGAUAGAAUCUGGCAGUCUAUGUGGCAGAAAUCAGCAAAAACACGAUUGUAAAAGCAAACAAGUAAUUAG
rnacentral:sRNA from 1 species